AUUGAACGCUGGCGGCGUGCUUAACACAUGCAAGUCGAUCGGUAACGCGGGGGCAACCCUGGCGACGAGAGGCGGACGGGUGAGGAACGCUUGGGAAUCUGCCUAUCAGCGGGGGACAACACGGGGAAACUCGUGCUAAUACCGCAUACGCUCUACGGAGGAAAGCCGGGGACCGCAAGGCCUGGCACUGAUAGAUGAGCCCAAGCCGGAUUAGCGAGUUGGCGGGGUAACGGCCCACCAAGGCGACGAUCCGUAGCUGGUCUGAGAGGACGAUCAGCCACACUGGAACUGAGACACGGUCCAGACUCCUACGGGAGGCAGCAGUGGGGAAUAUUGGACAAUGGGGGAAACCCUGAUCCAGCGACGCCGCGUGGGUGAAGAAGGCCUGCGGGUUGUAAAGCCCUUUCGGUAGGGACGAAAGCUCUCGACCUAACACGUCGGGAGGUUGACUUAACCUACAGAAGAAGCACCGGCUAACUCUGUGCCAGCAGCAGCCGCAGUAA
rnacentral:rRNA from 1 species